UCCCCUGCAAGGUCCGGUGGGUCUCCCCACA
rnacentral:piRNA from 1 species